rnacentral:rRNA from 1 species
GUGCCAGCCGCCGCGGUAAUACGGAGGGUGCAAGCGUUGUCCGGAAUCAUUGGGUGUAAAGGGUGCGUAGGCUGGUGUCUAAGUCUGGGGUGAAAUCUUGCCGCUUAACGGUAAAAUGGCCUUGGAUACUGGAUACCUUGAAUCUGACAGAGGUCGGUGGAAUUCGUAGUGUAGCGGUGAAAUGCAUAGAUAUUACGAAGAACAUCAGUGGCGAAGGCGGCCGGCUGGGUCAGUAUUGACGCUGAGGCACGAGAGCGUGGGGAGCGAACAGGAUUAGAUACCCGAGUAGUCC